rnacentral:rRNA from 1 species
AUUGAACGCUGGCGGCAGGCCUAACACAUGCAAGUCGAACGAGUGGCGGACUGGUGAGUUAUGUCUGGGAAACUGCCUGAUGGAUGGGUAUAACUCCUGGAACCGGUAGCUAAUACCGCAUACCAUCGGAUGUGCCCAGAUGGGAUUAGCUAGUAGGGGGGGUAAAGGCUCACCUAGGCGACGAUCCCUAGCUGGUCUGAGAGGAUGACCAGCCAAACUGGAACUGAGACACGGUCCAGACUCCUACGGGAGGCAGCAGUGGGGAAUAUUGCACAAUGGGCGCAAGCCUGAGGCAGCCAUGCCGCGUGUAUGAAGAAGGCCUUCGGGUUGUAAAGUACUUUCAGCGGGGAGGCGUUACCCGCAGAAGAAGCACCGGCUAACUCCGUGCCAGCAGCCGCGGUAAUUC